rnacentral:rRNA from 1 species
CUUGCUAGAUUGAUGGCGAGUGGCGAACGGGUGAGUAAUACAUCGGAACGUGCCCUGUAGUGGGGGAUAACUAGUCGAAAGAUUAGCUAAUACCGCAUACGACCUGAGGGUGAAAGUGGGGGACCGCAAGGCCUCAUGCUAUAGGAGCGGCCGAUGUCUGAUUAGCUAGUUGGUGGGGUAAAGGCCCACCAAGGCGACGAUCAGUAGCUGGUCUGAGAGGACGAUCAGCCACACUGGGACUGAGACACGGCCCAGACUCCUACGGGAGGCAGCAGUGGGGAAUUUUGGACAAUGGGCGAAAGCCUGAUCCAGCAACGCCGCGUGUGUGAAGAAGGCCUUCGGGUUGUAAAGCACUUUUGUCCGGAAAGAAAUGGCUCUGGUUAAUACCUGGGGUCGAUGACGGUACCGGAAGAAUAAGGACCGGCUAACUACGUGCCAGCAGCCGCGGUAAUACGUAGGGUCCAAGCGUUAAUCGGAAUUA